CAAAAAGAAGCAGGUAGGGUUUGAGCGGUGGCGCUGCUUACCACCCUUUCAUCGCGCCUACACGCUGGGUUGGAUUCCUCCAGCACAAACAACUGUACGAGUACUCGCUAAUGGCGGACGGUGGAGGUGGUGUUCCUGUCGCAUUUGUGAUUUCACACUAAAUAGGAAGGAAUCGGCGCUGGAUUGUUACACAACUGUUGCACCAGUGAAGGAUGUCUGUGUGCCGCCUUGCAUUCAGUUUCUCAGUCAUGGGGGCCUGCUUGCAACACCAGUGGUAAUGCAGUCUUGCAUUGUGCUAUUUGUUCUGGAAGGACACAAGCAUUGAGGAGCCAUUUGACCUGCCACUACACUGAUACGGUAUUUGGCAAAGGCAGGAGGCAUCUGCAAGCAACCAGUCAUUCCGAUUCUCAACCAAUCCUUCUAGUCAGCCGAUUUCUAGUGUCUUAUCUUGCAAGUUUUUUUCAGUAAAGCACAAUAAACACGCAGUUUCGUUCAGAUUCAGGUGGCUUGUUGCUUUUGGGCACGAAUUUGUAUGUAUGCUUUGUACACGUCAUGUACAGAACUCAAAUGCAACAUGGCAACACUGACACGAAGAUGAAGCGGUGUAGAAGACAGUUACACAAGGAGGAAACGUGCACACACAGCAUUUUCAGUGUGGUGUAUGUCCACUUAUGUGCAUUGAUUUCUGCCCCAUUUCAAGCUAUAUCCGAUGUGAGUUAGCCAUGUUGUAAUGUACAACUUGGUAUAACUUAUUUCAAUGAAACAAACAAUUUUCUCAUUUGCUGGAGAUAUACACCUGCAUCAUCAUUUACAAAACAAAUUUUGCACCUGUUGAUACGAAGCAAGAUAAAGCUGAACAAGUUCGUACGGAUUCAUGGUACAGGCACGCAAGCAUAGAAGACA